GACAAUGUGGCCGAGUGGUUAAGGCGCUGUGUUUAGGUUGUUGGACUUCAACUAUAAUACCGCAGUGGGAAACCGCGCGAGUUCGAAUCUCGUCAUUGUCA